GGACUCGCACAAGCGGUGGAGCAUGCGGUUUAAUUCGAUGCAACGCGAAGAACCUUACCAGGUCUUGACAGUGUAAAGAAUACUUAAGAGAUUAAGGGCUACGAAUUAAGCUUGCUUGAUUUACUUUAUAAACAGGUGGUGCAUGGUUGUCGUCAGCUCGUGUCGUGAGAUGUUGGGUUAAGUCCCGCAACGAGCGCAACCCUUAUCACUAGUUGCCAUCAUUCAGUUGGGCACUCUAGUGAGACUGCCGGUGACAAAUCGGAUGAAGGUGGGGAUGACGUCAAAUCAUCAUGCCCCUUAUGACCUGGGCUACACGCGUGCUACAAUGGCUAAUACAAAGAGUCGCAAAACCGUGAGGUAGAGCUAAUCUCAUAAAGUUAGUCUCAGUUCGGAUUGUAGUCUGCAACUCGACUACAUGAAGUUGGAAUCGCUAGUAAUCGUAAAUCAGAAUGUUACGGUGAAUACGUUCUCGAGUCUU
rnacentral:rRNA from 1 species